rnacentral:lncRNA from 1 species
UUAAACAGUUUUAAAAGGUGCUUAAAAUAAAGCGACAUUUAUAAGAGGGGGUCUUAUAUUGACAUUAAGGUUUGACUGGUUUAUUUCAGUUAAAUAUGCGUUUCACACACCUCAUCCAACCAACCCCUCCUUCUCUCCUCCUUCAUUGGUACAGUGGUGUAAUAACACAACAAUUUAUCACAUGAAUUAAUAACAUUAAGACACAAAUUAUUGAACAACGCAUACUCGCAGCUACUGAAAGCUAGUUCAAAGACGCAUUUUCAACUAAUACCGGUAGAUAAAUCAAAUUCUCUCAGAUAAAAAUCUCAAUCGUACCGAUCAUAAAGUUCAUAUUUUAAUGUUUGAUAAUUUAGAACUUUAAAAGUGUGCAGUGAAUCUUGUGUUCACCACAUGUUCCACAACUAUGUAUAAAUCAGACAUUAUAAAGGCAUUUGGAAGAUACCAAGAAGUCUUUUACAGUUAAUGAUCAUGAGAGGAUGGACAUUGCAUGAAUUUUACAUAGAUAAGAAGAAAUUGAUAGUUUUGUUUGGCGCGAAGACUUUCAAACUUUUUGCAUUAAAUUCUAAACAGUUUUCUUCUUGUCGUAACGGUAAAUGUUUAAAUGUUCAACAAAAUCUCAAUAACUUUGUUGGAACGAACAGAACAAAGGUGACAUGUAAAUCUUAAUUUCUUCGUUAUGUUGGUCUCUUGCGGAGAGCUGUAUC